rnacentral:rRNA from 1 species
CAUGUAGGCGGAUUAAUAAGUUUGAAGUGAAAUCCUAUAGCUUAACUAUAGAACUGCUUUGAAAACUGUUAAUCUAGAAUGUGGGAGAGGUAGAUGGAAUUUCUGGUGUAGGGUAAAAUCCGUAGAGAUCAGAAGGAAUACCGAUUGCGAAAGCGAUCUACUGGAACAUUAUUGACGCUGAGAUGCGAAAGCGUGGGGAGCAAACA